AAUGCCAGGAAAACACAGGUGGCCACGGAAGGAAGCUCCUGGACGGGUAGCGGUUAACAAAGGGCUAAGAGUUACAAGUUUACUAGAACCCGGAAGCUUAGAGGAGGAGCCUGGGAGAGGUGGAACUCAGACCGCGGAGGAAGGAGUGCUGGAGCGUUGGUGGUGGUAUCUUUAAGGGGCACAAUGGAGACUAGUUGUAGGGAGGGUUCAAGCUGGAAACUCGAACCUAGCGCGGCGCCUGAGGCCGCCGGGAACUGGGUAGGGGGGAAGGGUAGCGGGGCCGGGGGUGGGGAGAGCUGUUGCCACCACUACACUCUGGCGUGGGUCGCAAGUCCAUUCCCGCUUCCCCCGCCCACUUUGCAGGUUUCCUCUAGCACCCCCUGUUGGCGGACUUUAACAAGGAGCCAGCUGGCAAAGAGAACUGCAGCUGCAAGGAGGCCAGUCCCGGCAGCUACGGGAAACGAGCACAGGUUUCUAGUUUGGGGCUCUUACACAUAAUGCUGUUACGAGCAUUCUUGUGUACUCGUAUUUUGGGUGCAUCGUGAAGUCUCUAGCCUAUUUACAGUUGGAUGGUCCGGCUUUUUCUUAUUGCUCUGUGGGGAUUUUUAAUAUACUCUUGAUGAUGAAAUUUGAAGUGGGGUUCGUGAGCAAACGGCUAAGAUAGAAUUCUUGAGAUGUCUUUAGGGCAAAAAGGUGAUUUUAUUAAAGCACGGGGACAGGACCCAUGGGCAGAAAUAGCUGCCCUGGGGUUGUGAGGAGCGACUGGUUAUGUAGUUUUAGGUUUGGGAGUGGGGUAGAGAUAAAGUUAGUUUCCAAGGAAUUUCUGGACGCUGAAAGCAGGGUCUCACAGGACCCUGAAGAUUUAGCUAUUGUCAAGAUAAGGUUGCUUUUAGUUUUUUAAGGGAGUGUAAACAUUAAGGCAUUAAGGCAGCCAUACACGUCUUGGAAAGUAUUACACGCUGCAUGCAGGUCUCUGAUUUCUAUCAGUGGGCUCCAGGCUGUAAGAGAAUUUAAUUUCAACUACGUUUUUCUUGACUUUGUUUCUCUCAUCAUUGGUAUAAACCCUUUUGAUUAUAUGCAUUGCAAAUAUCCGCUCCCAGUCUGUGAACUUGUCUUUUUCACUCUCUGAACUGGUGUCUUGUGAUGAAUAGAUGUUCUUAAGUUUAUGUGGUACAACUUUACAUUUUUUCCUUUAGGGUUAGGCUGUUUUUUCUUUAAACAGUAUCUCCUUAUUCCAGAUCCAUGAAUAUAGUCUCCAAAGUCUUCUUUUUCUAUUUUUCAUCUCUUUUCUUUGUCCGUAUGUACUGAAUUAUGAGUAGUUUCUUCAUAUGUAUUUUCUAAUUUACUUGUUCUGUUUUCAGCAGUUUCUAAUCAUCUGCUGGGUUUCUAAUUAAAAUAUUGUAUUUUUAAAAAAAUAAAAUGAAAUAUUAUAUUUUUAAUUGCGACAAAUUAUGAUUUUCCCCAAUUUUGCCUGUUCAUUUUUAGUUUGUUGUUCCUGGAUUGUCUUUUCAAAAUACUCGUUAUUUCUUUAAAUUUUUUUUUUAACGUUUAUUUAUUUUUGAGACAGAGAGAGACACAGCAUGAACGGGGGAGGGGCAGAGAGAGAGGGAGACACAGAAUCGGAAGCAAGCUCCAGGCUCUGAGCCAUCAGCCCAGAGCCCGAUGCGGGGCUCGAACUCGCGGACCGCAAGAUCGUGACCUGAGCUGAAGUCGGACGCUUAACCGACUGGGCCACCCAGGCACCCCUCGUUAUUUCUUUAAACACAGGAAGCAUGUCUAAUGGGUAUGAUGUACCUAAACAUUAUAGUAUCUUUAGUCAUUGCAAAUGUGAUUCUACAGUUCAGUGUUUCUGCCAUCAUUGGCUUAUGGGGGCUUAUGUUUCUUUCAGAUGUUUAUAACUGCUAUGCGCCCAAGUUUGUUAGAAUUUUAUUCAUGGGAAUCCUUUGAAGGCUAGACUUAAAGGAUAUUCUUCCACAGAGGAAUUGUACUUGCUUGUGCCUAGAAACACUGCUAAAUUGAGACUCAUGAAAAUUUUUGGCAUUUUUUGCCCCCAAAGUUUGAGGGCUUAGAAAUCUCUGGGAAGGGGUGCCUGGGUGGCUCAGUCAGUUGAGCGGGCAACUCUUGAUUUUGGCCCAGGUCAUGAUCUCACCGUUCGUAGGUUCGAGCCCCACCUCGAGCUCUGAGAUGACAGUGAAGAGCCUGCUUGGGAUUCUCUCCCUCUCUCUGUCUCUCCCUCUGUUCCUCCCCCACUCGCUUGUGCGCACCUUUCUC